GGGAUAUUCAGUUCUCCAAGUAACCGCAGUGGAUGGAGACAGAGGAGCAACGGUGCCGAAUGCCAUCGAGUAUUCCUUCACUGACGGUUCUCACUCCAAUUUUAGCAUCAACACCACGACAGGGGUCAUUAGCGUGGCAUCACAGCUGGACGUGGAUGAUGAGGAAGUGAGGAACCAGGGAGGGCUGUUUAUUUUUAACGUCACGGCCACAGAAGUGUCCCCCGACGACGGCUCCACAUCGUCUCCUCCUACAACAUCGGCAAGUUUGGCAGACAACUCGUUCGGAAGCGACACUCAGCUGGUUUCCAUCACCGUGACAGACGUGAACGACAACAUCCCAGAGUUCAACAGCCCCGUCUACAACGCUACUGUGGCGGAGAACACGCCCAACGGUGUCCCCAUCACUCUGACCUCCAUCAUUGAAGUCUCCGAUGUCG